GUGAGAAAUUUAGUGACGUUGGAUAGAGAUAGUUGAGCAUUUUUUUGAUAUUAUUCAAUUCAAAUUAGUUUUUUUUAAUUACAGGAGAGCGAGGAGGUAUAUUACAAAUAGUUUUCUUGGUUUUAGAACUUUAUUUUUGUGUGCAGUUAGCAAGCCAAAUGUACAUAAAUGACACAAAUUCCGCUAGCUAGCGUUACCAGCGCGAGUGUGCAGUUAUCUCCUCCAGAAUGGUAGAAUGGCCAACGCUGCCGAAAAUGUUGUGGAUUUUUUUGGUUGAAAAACCAUUUUCAUUCUCUGGGGUACACGGAAAAGGUGCGAAUCAAAAGCGAGGGUCGACCUCUGCUUGAGAUCGGUUUCAUGAAGAAGAUGAGGGCGUUCAAUACUAACUGGUAUCAAAAGUAGAACUGGUUAAUAGGGAGCCUGUCAUCAAGUCGCCUGUACUGCCUGCAUACAGCCUAAACGCCCUGUCCAUCCGAUCAGGGUAAACUCAUUGGUAAUAUGUAUUUAUAGUCCAUUUGUGUCAGGAGAAAAUGUGAUCAAAUGUAGUAUAUAUAUUAAAUUGGGCUGGCUAUGCUGCCUAUACGUUUUUAAUUCAAAAUUAUUAACGGGAAUUCAUCAAUCAACAUGAUAGUGAUGGCAGACAGAUGUGAGUAAAAAACAAUGUAAGGCCAACAGUUGCAUAGGCCUAGGUAUAGGUAUGAUGCAAAUAUGCAUAAAGCAAGCUCAGCCCUGUGAGUUAUUGUCACGUUCUGACCUUAGUUAUUUUGUUAUGUCUUUGUUUAGUGUGGUCAGGGUGUGAGUUGGGUGGGUUGUCUAUGUUCCUUUUUCUAUGUUUUGGGAUUUCUGUAUUUUGCCUGGUAUGGUUCUCAAUCAGAGGCAGCUGUCAAUCGUUGUCCCUGAUUGAGAACCAUAUAUAGGUAGCCUGGUUUAACUUUUGAGUUGUGGGUGAUUAUGUUCUGUGUGUUCCACACGGAACUGUUUCGGUUUGUUAUUUCACUUUGUUAUUUUUGUAUUUUGUCGUGUUCAGUUUGUUCUAUUAAUAAUGGACACUUACCACGCUGCACCUUGGUCCUCCUCUCUUUCUCCCAACGACGGACGUCGCAGUUAUAUUGUCUAUGUGUCUGGGUUGAGGAAAUCCGCCUCCUAAUCUAGUCUAAAUACAAUUGAUAUGAACAAAUAUAAGGUAGCUCCAGUUUGACAGGUCUGCAUCCCCCCCAGGAGUUAAAAAACAACAUUUGACCUGAUUAGGAAAAACUGGUCCCAUCAGAGCCCAUAUAAAAUGUUUUUACAAGUGAUUAAUCACUGUGUUACCUUAUAGGGUCCAGAGUCUUCCUAGUUAGAUUAACAUGUUAGGAAAAACUCCAGGCCUCGGGGGGGUAAACAUUUCCCCACCUCUCUGGGACCUAUUGUGCUACCAGUCAGCUUGCAGUUGUCAGGUAUGUGGAUGAUCAGGGAUUUAUUCAGGAAUGUUUCUUGGGCUACUUUGUACAAAGCUGUCAUCAAAGCAACGGGUGGCUAUUUGAAGAAUCUCAAAUAUAAAAUAUAUUUACAUUUAUUUAACACUUUUUGGGGUUACUACAUUAUUCGAUGUGUUAUUUCAUAGUUUUGAUGUCUUCACUAUUAUUCUACAAUGUAGAAAACAGUAAAAAUAAACACCCUUGAAUGAGUAGCUGUUCUAAAACUUGACCGGUAGUGUAUAUACAGGGUAUAGUGUGUGUAUGUGUCAGGAUAUGUUUUGUGUCAAUCAAAUUGAUGGAAAUGUUUCCCUCAGAAAGCAAGAUGGAUUGUAUUGAGGAGAGAAUCAAAAGAGCUUUAAGACACCGCCCUUAUGUGGGUAAACACCCCUGAUUCUGUGAUGUGGCUAACCGGCAAGGUGCACAGAAGGUCAAAGCCUCCAAUCAUUGUGAGCUGUGGGCAGGACCAAACAUCUGGGGAUGGAGCAUCAAUCCAGAGCCUCUCAGCCAGGUCAUCUCUGCUAUUCCCAUAGAGACACAACAGAUAGAUCAAUCUGUUGAUUCAUAUGGCCAUUUUGUUUGGCUUGGUUAAAUUGACAAUCAACCAUUCAAGAUGCUAAAGAAUCGUAUUCUAUGGAAGGUCCUUGAGAGUAAAUGCCAGUGUAUUCUAUGGCUGCCAUGAGUACAUGCCUUUCUCUGUCUCCUCAGUCUGGAAGGGUGACUCGGCUGAUGAAGAGAAAAUAUCAUGACGUGAUCUCAUCCUCCAGUUCUGAUGACUUUUCCAUCUACUCCUUCACUGACUGAAUCUGAGGUAAAAGAGUUGUACCCUAAAAAUCAAAUCAAAUCAAAUUUUAUUUGUCACAUACACAUGGUUAGCAGAUGUUAAUGCGAGUGUAGCGAAAUGCUUGUGCUUCUAGUUCCGACAAUGCAGUGAUAACCAACAAGUAAUCUAACUAACAAUUCUAAAACUACUGUCUUAUAUACAGUGUAAGGGGAUAAAGAAUAUGUACAUAAGGAUAUAUGAGUGAGUGAUGGUACAGAGCAGCAUACAGUAGAUGGUAUCGAGUACAGUAUAUACAUAUGAGAUGAGUAUGUAGACAAAGUAAACAAAGUGGCAUAGUUAAAGUGGCUAGUGAUACAUGUAUUACAUAAGGAUGCAGUCGAUGAUGUAGAGUACAGUAUAUACGUAUGCAUAUGAGAUGAAUAAUGUAGGGUAAGUAACAUUAUAUAAGGUAGCAUUGUUUAAAGUGGCUAGUGAUAUAUUUACAUUUCCCAUCAAUUCCCAUUAUUAAAGUGGCUGGAGUUGGGUCAGUGUCAAUGACAGUGUGUUGGCAGCAGCCACUCAAUGGUGGCUGUUUAACAGUCUGAUAGCCUUGAGACAGAAGCUGUUUUUCAGUCUCUCAGUCCCAGCUUUGAUGCACCUGUACUGACCUCGCCUUCUGGAUGAUAGCGGGGUGAACAGGCAGUGGUUCGGGUGGUUGAUGUCCUUGAUGAUCUUUAUGGCCUUCCUGUAACAUCGGGUGGUGUAGGUGUCCUGGAGGGCAGGUAGUUUGCCCCCGGUGAUGCGUUGUGCAGACCUCACUACCCUCUGGAGAGCCUUACGGUUGAGGGCGG